ensembl:lncRNA
GUGUGUUGUAGAUGUGUUGUAGGUGUGUUGUAGGUGUGUAGUAGGGGUGUUGUAGGUGUGUUGUAGGUGUGUUGUAGGUGUGUUGUAGGUGUGUUGUAGGUGUGUUGUAGGGGUGUUGUAGGUGUGUUGUAGGUGUGUUGUAGGUGUGUUGUAGGUGUGUUGUAGGUGUGUUGUAGAUGUGUUGUAGGUGUGUUGUAGGUGUGUUGUAGAUGUGUUGUAGGUGUGUUGUAGGUGUGUUGUAGGUGUGUUGUAGAUGUGUUGUAGGGGUGUUGUAGGUGUGUUGUAAGGGUGUUGUAGGGGUGUUGUAGGGGUGUUGUAAGGGUGUUGUAGGUGUGUUGUAAGGGUGUUGUAGGGGUGUUGUAGGUGUGUUGUAGGGGUGUUGUAAGUGUGUUGUAAGGGUGUUGUAGGGGUGUUGUAGGUGUGUUGUAGGUGUGUUGUAGGUGUGUUGUAGGGGUGUUGUAGGGGUGUUGUAGGUGUGUUGUAGGUGUGUUGUAGGUGUGUUGUAGGGGUGUUGUAGGGGUGUUGUAGGUGUGUUGUAGGUGUGUUGUAGGUGUGUUGUAGGUGUGUUGUAGGGGUGUUGUAGGUGUGUUGUAGGUGUGUUGUAAGGGUGUUGUAGGUGUGUUGUAGGUGUGUUGUAGGUGUGUUGUAAGGGUGUUGUAGGGGUGUUGUAGGUGUGUUGUAGGGGUGAUGAAGGGGUGACUGGCUGCGAAUAAGUGACAUCGGACGUGAGUCGUCUUCCAGAGAGAACGAAGAGGCCAAGUGACCUGGCAGAGGAUGGCUGAAACACUUUUGUAACGGGUAAGACAAUCUUCAUACAGAACGGAAAUGAUACACCCCGCAUUCAAAUUGUAAGUAUACUAAAUGAUUCACAGUGUGAUGAG